GUUUUGUUUUUGCUCAGUUGGUUAGAGCAUGGUGUUGAUAAUGCCAAGGUUGCUAGUUCAAUCCUCAUAUGGGACA